GACGAACGCUGGCGGGGUGCUCAACUCAUGCAAGUCGAACGGAAAGGCUAUGUUUUAGUGGGUUGUCCGAGUGGGGAACGAGCGAGGAACACGGGGGUAACCCGGGCGUGACUUCGGGAUAUGUUCAGGGAAAGGGGGCGAAGAGUGGAGAGGAGGUACUGCGGCACGGUGGGGGUGGGAAAGGUUCGGCGGCUGGGGAUGGACUCGCGGCUUAUCAGCUUGUUGGUGGGGUAGUGGCUUACCAAGGCUUUGACGGGUAGCCGGCCUGAGAGGGUGACCGGCCACAUUGGGACUGAGAUACGGCCCAGACUCCUACGGGAGGCAGCAGUGGGGAAUAUUGCACAAUGGGCGGAAGCCUGAUGCAGCAACGCCGCGUGCGGGAUGACGGCCUUCGGGUUGUAAACCGCUUUCGCCUGUGACGAAGCGUGAGUGACGGUAAUGGGUAAAGAAGCACCGGCUAACUACGUG
rnacentral:rRNA from 1 species